rnacentral:rRNA from 1 species
GUGCCAGCCGCCGCGGUAAAACGUAGGUACCGAGCGUUAUCCGGAUUCACUGGGCGUAAAGCGCGUGCAGGUGGUUUGGUAAGUCGGGCAUGAAAACUCUUGGCUCAACUAAGAGACGCUGUCCGAUACUGCCGGACUUGAGGGCAUAAGAGGGAGGUGGAAUUCCGCAUGUAGUGGUGAAAUGCGUAGAUAUGCGGAGGAACACCAGUGGCGAAGGCGGCCUCCUGGUAUGCUCCUGACACUCAGACGCGAAAGCUAGGGGAGCGAACGGGAUUAGAAACCCUUGUAGUCC